GACGAACGCUGGCGGCGUGCCUAAUACAUGCAAGUAGAACGCUGAAGGAGGAGCUUGCUUCUCUGGAUGAGUUGCGAACGGGUGAGUAACGCGUAGGUAACCUGCCUGGUAGCGGGGGAUAACUAUUGGAAACGAUAGCUAAUACCGCAUAAUAGCAGUUAUUGCAUGAUAACUGUUUGAAAGGUGCAAUUGCACCACUACCAGAUGGACCUGCGUUGUAUUAGCUAGUUGGUGGGGUAACGGCUCACCAAGGCGACGAUACAUAGCCGACCUGAGAGGGGGAUCGGCCACACUGGGACUGAGACACGGCCCAGACUCCUACGGGAGGCAGCAGUAGGGAAUCUUCGGCAAUGGACGGAAGUCUGACCGAGCAACGCCGCGUGAGUGAAGAAGGUUGUCGGAUCGUAAAGCUCUGUUGUAAGAGAAGAACGAGUGUGAGAGUGGAAAGUUCACACUGUGACGGUAUCUUACCAGAAAGGGACGGCUAACUACGUG
rnacentral:rRNA from 1 species